GGGGAGCGGGAGGGAGGGAGCGUGUGUGCUGUGCAUGGAGAGAACAUGCAAGAGGCCAUGUAUGGAGCAUGCACGGAGCACAGUGUGCGCACGCUGCGCCGGAAGAGCGAGCGUGGAGCGUGCAGAGAGAACAUGCGUGGAGCAUGAACAGGGGCACAUACAGAGCGUGCAGAGAGAACAUGUAUGAAGCAUGUGCAAGGGCACGUAUGGAGCAUGCACAAGAGCAUGCAUGGAGGGCGCAGAGAGAGCAUGCAUGGGACAUGCAGGAGGGCAUGAAUGGAGCAUGCGCAAAAGCACACAUGGAGCGUGCAAGAGGACAUGGAUAGAACAUGCAUAGGGCAUGCACAGAGAGUGCAGAGGUAUCAUGCAGGGAGCAUGCAGAAAGCGUGCACAAAGCAAACAGCACGUGCAUGGAGCGUGCAAGCGGGCAUGUGCACAACAGAGAGGGUGCAGAGAGAGCAUGUAUGCAGUAAGCAUGCACGGGGCGUGCAAGAGAGAGCAUGAGGGGCACAUAGAACAUGCACAGAGCUUGCAGCCAAAACUGCAUGGACCAUGUGGAGAGCAUGCACAUGGAGAACACGGCUGAAGCAUGCAUGGAGCAUGCAUGGAGCGUGCAGAGAGUACAUGGAGAGAGCGUGUGGGGACAGCGUGCAUGCCAUGAUCACAGAGAGCACACACAGCGUGCAGGGAGCGUGACAAGACAACAUACAUGAAGGGGUAUACACAUGGAGCACACGAGGAGAGCACGCGUGCAGCAUCACAUGGGGUGCGCGCAGAGCACGCAGCAAGAGUGCAGGGGCAUGCACAGAGCAUGUGAAAGAGCUGGCAUGACGCGUGUACCGAGCACACACGAGCACACGAGGAGCAUGCACACAGCACGCCGAGCGAGCACACGUGUACCCGGCGUGUGCAGGAGCACGCGUGCACACGCCACAGCACACACGGUGCACGCAGGCAGCCUAAACGGGGGGGUCCCUCCUCUCCCGUCGCGUCUCCCCCUCCCAGGCCUUCCCGGGAUAUAGGUUUAGGAUGGAAAUCACGGAGCAGCUGGCCCCGGGGUGCCCGGGUGGGUGCUGGGGCACCCUGGGGUGCUUGGGGUGCGCUACUAACCAAUAAACUAAACAUAGUGCCUGGCC
rnacentral:lncRNA from 1 species